rnacentral:rRNA from 1 species
UACGUAGGGUGCGAGCGUUAAUCGGAAUUACUGGGCGUAAAGCGUGCGUAGGCGGUUCUGCAAGUCAGAUGUGAAAUCCCCGGGCUUAACCUGGGAACUGCGUUUGAAACUACGGAGCUAGAGUGUGGCAGAGGGGGGUGGAAUUCCACGUGUAGCAGUGAAAUGCGUAGAGAUGUGGAGGAAUACCAAUGGCGAAGGCAGCCCCCUGGGAUAAUAUUGACGCUCAUGCACGAAAGCGUGGGGAGCAAACAGG